rnacentral:lncRNA from 1 species
AGCCCCGCGCUCUACCAGGCAGAGCGCGUGUGGCCGCCGAGCACAUGGACCCACUGGUCAAGCGGGCUCGGCAAGGCCAGGAUGAAGAGAAGCUACGAACUUAGCAUUCCCAGAGCCCCCCGAGUGGAUAUCCGCGUGGAAAGGAUGUUGGCAGCCCCGGUGACCUCGGAGUCACGGCUGGAUCCACCCUCUUGUCUGAUUUUCUUAACUCUACUACGGUAAGAAGAUGCCCUCCAUCAGCAGGCCGUGUCUGCUGGGACCUCUCUGGAGACUUCCUGAACCCUGUGGAUUUACAGUAAGAUGCAGUUUCCUGGGGAGUAAUUCUGGUGGAUACAAAUUCCGGAGUAUUACACCUGGCUUGCCUGGAGAUGUUACAAGUAGCUGGAUGGAUUCUUCAGCCUGGAUGCCCACUGAAAACAAGGACCGAAACUAAGAGGAUUGUAUCUCUACCCUUGACUCAAUGAGAAUGUUUGUUGUCAUCUCUCGGGCUACCUGGAGCUCCCUCUAAAAUUAUACCCUUUAAGCGUUCCAGAAGGAUUUUGAGAUCCUUUCCUAAAUCAAAGGUGGAAUAUUUGGGGAUUUGGAAAAUUGAGAUGUGAAGCGUUGACUUAAGAGAUGCCAAGUAACUCAGCAGAUGUCACACAGACGAUAAAUAGCAAAGAUGGAAGUCUUCAUGCCGGAGGCAAUCCUAUAAGACAGCUGAGUUCUGCAGAGCUGGAGACAGACUUGCUCAGGUGAUAGAUCCAGCCAUGAUACUGACCCUAAGAGAAUGAGACGCUCUGCAGAAGACAGAAGAUUCCUGAAACUGGGAAAGGUGCCUAGAAAUCCUGAUAAGAGUGAAGAAGGAGCUGGCAGAGCAGCCUUCCUCCGCACUAUGAAAGACAUCCAACAGAGAGCAAGUUCCCACCUCACUUCCAGCUUGACUCCUUUUUAUCUCCUAACUGUGGUCUGUGAUGUCUUCAGCAAUGGGUACCUGGAGGCACAGCAGCCAUGUUGAACCUAUGAGGUGAUGAAAAACCAUGCAACUAGAAACCAGAAUGGAAGAAAAGAAGAAGCUGGAUCCUUGACUGAAUUGUCGAUGGGGGAUAGUCCAUCAUCCCAGGGCUAAGACCACCUCCAGAUUUCUUGUUUGGUGAAACAAGUCCUGAUUGUUUACAUUCCCUCGUGUUGAGCUGUCUCUUGCUUGUAGCUGAAAGCAUUUCUAAUAGAUAUUCAGAUUAUCAGCCUUAGCUCCAAGCUAGAAUACUCUAUGGGACCUUAGCUUCUCCAUGAAUUCCUUUGCUCAUCUGUGUAAUGCUCAAUAAAUGUAAAUUGAACCCUGAAUGAGGGACAAUGACACUA